rnacentral:rRNA from 1 species
AUGGUGGUAACGGGUAACGGGGAAUUAGGGUUCGAUUCCGGAGAGGGAGCCUGAGAAACGGCUACCACAUCCAAGGAAGGCAGCAGGCGCGCAAAUUACCCAAUCCCGACACGGGGAGGUAGUGACAAUAAAUAACAAUACGGGGCUCUUUCGGGUCUCGUAAUUGGAAUGAGUACAAUUUAAAUCCCUUAACGAGGAACAAUUGGAGGGCAAGUCUGGUGCCAGCAGCCGCGGUAAUUCCAGCUCCAAUAGCGUAUAUUAAAGUUGUUGCAGUUAAAAAGCUCGUAGUUGAAUUUCGGGAUUGGCGCAUCGGUCGUGCCUCACGGGGUAUGAACUGGUGCAGUCAAUUUCUCGCCUUCUGGAGAACCGCGAUGUCCUUAAUUGGAUGCCGUGGGGAACCAGGACCUUUACUUUGAAAAAAUUAGAGUGUUUAAAGCAGGCAUUUUUGCUUGAAUACAUUAGCAUGGAAUAAUAAAAUAGGACGGCAUGGUUCUAUUUUGUUGGUUUCUAGGACCACCGUAAUGAUUAAUAGGGAUAGUUGGGGGCAUUAGUAUUCAAUUGUCAGAGGUGAAAUUCUUGGAUUUAUUGAAGACUAACUACUGCGAAAGCAUUUGCCAAGGAUGUUUUCAUUAAUCAAGAACGAAAGUUAGGGGAUCGAAGACGAUCAGAUACCGUCGUAGUCUUAACCAUAAACUAUGCCGA